rnacentral:misc_RNA from 1 species
CAUGGCAAACCAAGGAGCAACCUUG